GUUUCUGUAGCUUACACUAAUCCAAAAGCACGACAUUGAAGCUGCCAAGACGGGUCAUCAACCCCAGAAGCA
rnacentral:tRNA from 1 species